rnacentral:ncRNA from 1 species
CAAAGGUUUGGUCCUGGCCUUAUUAUUAGCUGUUAGUAAUCUUACACAUGCAAGUAUCCGCAUCCCAGUGAAAAUGCCCUCCAACUCUUAACAGGACAAAGAGGUGCAGGCAUCAAGUACACCCUUAAUUCUAGGUAGCUCAUAACGCCUUGCUUAGCCACGCCCCUACGGGAGACAGCAGUGAUAAAAAUUAAGCUAUGAACGAAAGUUUGACUAAGUUAUACUGACAAAGGGUUGGUAAAUUUCGUGCCAGCCACCGCGGUCACACGAUUAACCCAAGCUAAUAAAUACCGGCGUAAAGCGUGUUUAAGGAUAUAGCCAAAGAUAAAGUUAAAUUCUAGUUGAGCUGUAAAAAGCCCCCGCUACUAUAAAAUAAUCCACGAAAGUGACUUUAAAACACCUGAAUACACGACAGCUAAGAUCCAAACUGGGAUUAGAUACCCCAUUAUGCUUAGCCAUAAACCUAAGAAGUUCACUGAACAAUACUACUCGCCAGAGAACUACGAGCUACUGCUUAAAACUCAAAGGACUUGGCGGUGCUUCACAUCCCCCUAGAGGAGCCUGUUCUAUAAUCGAUAAACCCCGAUAAACCUCACCAGUCCUUGCCAAUUCAGCCUAUAUACCGCCAUCUUCAGCAAACCCCAAAAGGGAAUGAUAGUAAGCACAAACACAACACAUAAAAACGUUAGGUCAAGGUGUAGCUUAUGGACUGGAAAGUAAUGGGCUACAUUUCCUUACACAAGGAUAUUAUAUUAAAACACGAAAACCAACGUGCAACCGUUAGUCUAAGGUGGAUUUAGUAGUAAACCAAGAAUAGAGAGCUUGAUUGAAUUAGGCCCUGAAGCACGUACACACCGCCCGUCACCCUCCUCAAGUACUCAAGAUCAUCUAAAACAUAUUACACGAUACAAAAUUACUAGAGGAGAUAAGUCGUAACAAGGUAAGCGUACUGGAAAGUGCGCUUGGAUAACU